GUGAAAUUGUUGAAAGGGAAGCGCUGGCAACCGGACUCGAGCGCGGUGUUCCCCCUGGCUUCUGCUAGGGUUACUUCACCGUGUCCGGGCCAUCAUCAGUUUUGGGGACCGGUCAAAGGCCCCGGGAAUGUAUCGUCUCCUUCGGGGGACGACUUAUAGCCCGGGGUGUCAUGCGGCCUCCCGGGACUGAGGAACGCGCUUCGGCGAGGAUGAUGGCGUAAUGGUUGUCAGCGACCCCGGUGUCGUUGCCACGGAUUUUCCC
rnacentral:rRNA from 1 species